rnacentral:rRNA from 1 species
CACCGCGGCUAUACGAGAGACCCAAGUUGAUACCAUUCGGCGUAAAGAGUGGUUAUGGAAAAUAGAGACUAAAGCCGCACACCUUCAAAGCUGUUAUACGCAUCCGAAGGCUAGAAGAUCAACCACGAAG